rfam:Bacteroides helcogenes P 36-108, complete genome.
ACAAUGAAGAGUUUGAUCCUGGCUCAGGAUGAACGCUAGCUACAGGCUUAACACAUGCAAGUCGAGGGGCAGCAUUGUCAUAGCAAUAUGACAGAUGGCGACCGGCGCACGGGUGAGUAACACGUAUCCAACCUGCCUUCCACUCGGGAAUAGCCUUUCGAAAGAAAGAUUAAUGUCCGAUGGCACUGAAAUAGGCCAUCCUAUUUCAGUUAAAGAAUUUCGGUGGAAGAUGGGGAUGCGUUCCAUUAGCUUGUUGGCGGGGUAACGGCCCACCAAGGCAUCGAUGGAUAGGGGUUCUGAGAGGAAGGUCCCCCACAUUGGAACUGAGACACGGUCCAAACUCCUACGGGAGGCAGCAGUGAGGAAUAUUGGUCAAUGGGCGGGAGCCUGAACCAGCCAAGUAGCGUGAAGGAUGACUGCCCUAUGGGUUGUAAACUUCUUUUAUAAGGGAAUAAAACGGGCCACGUGUGGCCUUUUGCAUGUACCUUAUGAAUAAGGAUCGGCUAACUCCGUGCCAGCAGCCGCGGUAAUACGGAGGAUCCGAGCGUUAUCCGGAUUUAUUGGGUUUAAAGGGAGCGCAGACGGGGUCUUAAGUCAGUUGUGAAAGUUUGCGGCUCAACCGUAAAAUUGCAGUUGAUACUGGGGCUCUUGAGUGCAGUAUAGGCAGGCGGAAUUCGUGGUGUAGCGGUGAAAUGCUUAGAUAUCACGAAGAACUCCGAUUGCGAAGGCAGCCUGCUGGACUGUAACUGACGUUCAUGCUCGAAAGUGCGGGUAUCAAACAGGAUUAGAUACCCUGGUAGUCCGCACAGUAACGAUGAAUACUCGCUGUUGGCGAUACACAGUCAGCGGCCAAGCGAAAGCGUUAAGUAUUCCACCUGGGGAGUACGCCGGCAACGGUGAAACUCAAAGGAAUUGACGGGGGCCCGCACAAGCGGAGGAACAUGUGGUUUAAUUCGAUGAUACGCGAGGGACCUUACCCGGGCUUGAAUUGCUAAUGAAUAUGGCGGAAACGUCAUAGCCGCAAGGCAUUAGUGAAGGUGCUGCAUGGUUGUCGUCAGCUCGUGCCGUGAGGUGUCGGCUUAAGUGCCAUAACGAGCGCAACCCUUAUCUAUAGUUACCAUCAGGCAAUGCUGGGGACUCUAUGGAGACUGCCGUCGUAAGAUGUGAGGAAGGUUGGGAUGACGUCAAAUCAGCACGGCCCUUACGUCCGGGGCUACACACGUGUUACAAUGGGGGGUACAGAAGGCAGCUACACAGCGAUGUGAUGCUAAUCCCAAAAACCUCUCUCAGUUCGGACUGGAGUCUGCAACCCGACUCCACGAAGCUGGAUUCGCUAGUAAUCGCGCAUCAGCCACGGCGCGGUGAAUACGUUCCCGGGCCUUGUACACACCGCCCGUCAAGCCAUGAAAGCCGGGGGUACCUGAAGUGCGUAACCGCAAGGAGCGCCCUAGGGUAAAACUGGUGAUUGGGGCUAAGUCGUAACAAGGUAGCCGUACCGGAAGGUGCGGCUGGAACACCUCCUUU